AGAUAAUUGGGAGGAAGGUGAGGAUGACGCCAAAUCAGCAUGGCCCUUGAUGUCCUGGGCUGCACACGUGGUACAAUGGUCGGUACAAUGGGAGCAAAGCCGUAAGGUGGAGCAUAAUCUCAUCAAAGCCGAUCUCAGUUCGGAUUGAGGGCUGAAACUCGUCCUCAUGAAGUUGGAAUUGCUAGUAAUCGCCAAUCAGCUAUGUGGCGAUGAAUACGUUCCUGAGUCUUGUACUCACCGCCCGUCAAGCCAAGCGAGCUGGGGAUAGCCGAAGUUCCAAGCAAUUGGGCCUAAGCUAGAUUCAGUAAGAGGGGCUAAGUCGUAACAAGGCACGGGUAGCGGAAGCUGCUCGUGGAUCAUAUUUUUA
rnacentral:ncRNA from 1 species